UGGUUGCUUUGAGUCUAUUGAGUCAGUCUCCUCUGCCUGCAUUGACUGCAUCCUCGAGGUUGUGCCAUCGUUGUGGACAAUGGCGACCGAAGCACGCGGCGGCUCGUCACGCUCAGAGACGUAGGGGCAGCAGUUGGCACCGUCUUAGCGUCAGAGAUCGCGGCGCAUCACGCUGGAGCCUCUAGCUUCUGGCGCCUCCAACAUCGAGCUCGGAGAACCUCGGCUGUGGCGAUGAAGAGCGGG
rnacentral:lncRNA from 1 species